rnacentral:rRNA from 1 species
AUGAAGGAGAUCCAUGGCGAAGAAGCAGGGGUUCCUCCAAGCGACCUGCACCAGCAUCUUGGCGACCUACUCAAGAACCAGGACGCAGCAGACCUAACCUUUCAAGUCGGUGCACAGAGAUUCUCUGCUCACAGGUGUGUCCUUGCUGCUCGGUCGUCAGUCUUCAAGGCUGAGCUCCUCGGCGCCAUGGAGGAGAGUUCCUCUGGUCAUAUUGAAAUAUGUGACAUGGAAACUGAUGUUUUCAAGUCCUUGCUCCAUUUCAUUUACACCGACUCGGUUCCUCCAGUGCUUGAUGUGGUAAUGGCCAGCCAUCUUCUCGUGGCGGCUGACAGGUACAAUAUCGGCAGGCUGAAGCAGAUCUGUGAGGAAAAAUUGUGCAAUAACAUUGAUGCCAACAUGGUGGCUACCAGCUUGGCUUUAGCGGAGCAGCAUGGUUUCCAUGAUCUCAAAGAAGCUUGCUGGCAGUUCCUUGCUUCUCCCUCCAAUUUGGAGGCGAUGAUGGCAAGUGACAGUUAUGAGCAUCUCAAGUCCAGUUGUCCAUCUGUUUUCAAGGAGCUAAUAGCUAGAAUCCUCCCGGCUGAAUGGAACGCGGCUAAGGAUAUUGUCCUGACAAUGUGGAAGUAA